UACGAAGGGGGCUAGCGUUGUUCGGAUUCAUUGGGCGUAAAGGGUGCGUAGGCGGCGCGGUAAGUCGGGUGUGAAAUCUCGGAGCUUAACUCCGAAACUGCAUUCGAUACUGCCGUGCUUGAGGACUGGAGAGGAGACUGGAAUUUACGGUGUAGCGGUGAAAUGCGUAGAUAUCGUAAGGAAGACCAGUGGCGAAGGCGGGGUCUCUGGACAGUUCCUGACGCUGAGGCACGAAGGCCAGGGGAGCAAACGGG
rnacentral:rRNA from 1 species